rnacentral:rRNA from 1 species
UACGGAGGGGGCUAGCGUUGCUCGGAAUGACUGGGCGUAAAGGGCGCGUAGGCGGAUGGCACAGUCAGAUGUGAAAUUCCCGGGCUUAACCUGGGGGCUGCAUUUGAUACGUGUUGUCUUGAGUUCGGAAGAGGGUCGUGGAAUUCCCAGUGUAGAGGUGAAAUUCGUAGAUAUUGGGAAGAACACCGGUGGCGAAGGCGGCGACCUGGUCCGACACUGACGCUGAGGCGCGAAAGCGUGGGGAGCAAACAGG